UCUAACCAAUGUGGAACUAGCAUCCCAACAGAAAAAAACACCGUUACUUCUUCAUUAUUUCAAUUGUGAAUCCUAGGCAUGAGUUGGGAUGGCUCUCCCAAACCUUCCAGAUUCUUCAUGUUCUCAACAAGAUCCCUUUGGAACUACUGUUCGUUUGAAUUAAUUUGAUGUAUGGAGCGGCUUAAAUGUUUUCACAGGAAAUAUUUAUAAGGUGUUGAUUAGAAAAUGAAUAUGUUCACGUGUGGUGGAAAGAAGCUUAAGCUAACAAUUUGGGGUGUUGGACAAGAUAUGGUAAACGUGUCCAAUGAUGAUUGUAAUCAGUACAACAUUUCUCUUGCGAUGAAGUUAAGCUAAAUAACGACAUGGUUUUUUCAUGAUAGGAGUCAAGCAUCCUUCAAAUCUGCAAAACGAGUUUGAAGAGCUCAAGAUACAAUAUAGAGAUUUGAGGGUAAUAGUGAUCUUUGUGUACCUCACGAUGUGACUUAUUCAGGUGUUAGAUUUUUGAUUGUUUCUUUUGUAGCUUCACGUUUGAUGGAAUUUGCAUAAGGCUUUUGAAUAGUAGCGUGCGGCUUACAUCCCUAUCCCUAGGUAAAAGUGGUCACAACAUAUCAAAAUUAUGCAUCCAUCUUAUGCAGUAGAGUGCAAGUUAUUCAGAAUUAACAUUUUCAAAGUGUAAAGUGAACAAAAUAAUUGGCUUCAUAGAGAUUUAAAUUAUGCGCCACACAACACCUGGGUGUGCAACAAUAUAAUAGAUGCAAGGUUUUUAAAAGCCAUAAUAGUUAAGAGACAUGAAAAGAACUGAACUGGCAUGAUACCUGUAGAGAGUAAUAUAAGUAAUAGUUAGUGAAUAGUCAAAGAGCAUUUUCAGUUUCCCGAAAGAGCUUGGUAGCCUUUAAGAGAAUAAAAAAUACUGUAGAUUUAGAAAUCUUUUGUUGAUGUUUUUCCUGAUAUUUUUAGCCUUAUCAACGGUAAAGGUUCGUUUAAAUGAAUUUUGGUUACGUAUUGGUUUCCUUUAACUAUUUUUUGUUUUAGUUUUUGAUGUUGGAUAUGCAGCUAAUACAUUUGGCAUGGGAAGGCUCACUGAGUCCACCGAGAUUUUUGCACAUUCACAAAGUUACGCUGAAGGAGAGAAACUUGGAUCUGACAGAUAAAGUAAAUCAUGUUGAGUCGAAACUGCAGUUCAUAGCGUUGUGUUACUCCAUCUGGAUUGUUAAGGUUUACAUAUUUUUUACUUUUUGUAUUCGCUGUGGUUUUUCCGUUAAUAUUGUUCAUGUACAGUAUUUGCUCUUCAUUUUGUUUCUCUUACCGACUUUAGUGGUUUUUGUUGUCGAUAAUCCAUUUGCUUGAGAAGGCUAGGUGGGCAUAUGAGAGCGUAAAAACAUAUGUAGGCAGCAAGUUUACUCCUACAACUUUCUUUAUCUGGUGGUGCUCCACGCAAAGAGAGUUUCCAUUUUCCAAUGCAAGUUUAACCAUCCACUGACUCAGGAGUAUAUCAAAAUGAGGUCCAUUUAGGAUGUUGCUAAGUUGCUAACUACUCAACUUAUCCUGAAUGCUAAUUAUUGAUUAGUGAAUUUAUUAAUCAAAAUUAACUAAUGUUACAGUAGUUUAAUCAUGCAAUAUAUCUAAUGCAGUUUAAUGGCCUUCAAAUUUACUCUAAAUUUCUUUUCCUACACAACAGUUUAGGUCCUGUCACUAAGCAAGUCAAAUGUACAUAUCUGAAGUAUAAAAACUGCAUCAUACAUUAAUUUAUUUCCUCUCAUGAACACCAAAGAGAACAACAAGAUAAUUAUGCCCCUCAUAUCAGACAGUGAGAAAAUCGACAAGAUUAAUAUGGUUGGAAAUAUAUAAUUAAUUGCAACAGAUGAGUCAACAUUGUUUUUUUUUCUUUUUUUUCUUUUUUUUUGUAAUAUGAGAUGAGGCUGUCAAAUGCCAGUUUUGUCGUGCAAUUGUUGAUUUUCCUAGCCUUUUUAGACGACCUCACUUUUACCUCCUCAGCUUUGAUAUCAUUUUAUUGCGGAGUUGGUGUAUUGUUCGUUCAUUUUGAGUACCACCAAAAUGCAAAUCAAGGAAGAAAGAAGUAACUUGAUGCCGUUGAACAUUCUUUGGAGCAAGCUUAAUGAGACGAGGAAAUAUGCUUUACUACCAAAGCCUCAUGUCCCGUUUAAGAGUUUUCUGAAGGAGCUCGCUAAAUUCAAGUCAAGUUCAGAUUUCUUACAAGGAACACCACUGCGUUUGUAGUCCCUUGCAGGUCAUGUCUACAAAAAAUGAUAUGUCAUUUCCGGGUAACACCGGUUGUCACUCAUUCACCAUAUCUGACUAUCUGUUGUUUGAAUAUUUUUUUUAAAUCUAAUCAACAUUACUUGAGUAAUUGUUGUUAGUUCCUGUAAACAAUUGAGAAAAAUGUUUCCCUUGAUAUGGUUUUUCUAUAAACUGAAUCA